GGGAGCUCCCGUGAGCCUUUGCGACGCCAGCUGCUUAUCUGCAUACGGCGGUCGGCGGACCUACCGUUCCCGGUUCUACCCAGACGAAGAAAUAAAAUGGAAUGCGACACAAGCAAAUAACUAAGUGAAUAAGAUAAACUGCAAAGGAACUGGGCUCUUGAUUCAACGGUCCACUCUGGUACUCACCGUAGGGCAAAUGAGCAUGGGAUUCAUUACCCAACCCAGGACCCAGCACUAAGCUUGGCACGAGGUAGCUAUUCGACACAUGUUUGUUGCAUCAAUCGAUUAAAACACACACACACACACACCCAAGGGCAGCAAAGAGCAUGUACUGUACUCUGUGAGUUGCUAUUAAUUUCUAAGGGCAGUGAUGCCAGUGGAAUUCAUGUACUGUUGACAGAACCCACAUAAUUAAAACUCUGGCAUCAAGAGCUCUGUGGACAGGAGCUGGUAAAGCCAGCGGGUCUGGGGGUGGGCACCAGACAGAGGGAAGGGAAGCCAGGUCCCACCUGCGCAGCCGCGACUGGGUGCUGGCUGGCUCUCCUCAGCUGUAAACCGGGACGGCUAACCCCUCCCGCCCUCCCUUCCUUGUGCGGGGAGGAACGCGGUGCUAGGAAGGGAGGGCCCAGGUUCGGCCUCAACACCCUCUCCUGCUGGACCGCGGAGGGCUGGUGCAGAGGCACAAGGGAGGGACCAGAGGACCGCAGGAUUUACGGCCCGGUCAAGCCUUAAGUGAAAUGUAAUAAAGGGACUUAAAGAUUAUUUUUAAAGCCAGUUCAAUAAGGUCGAUAACUGAGAUCAACCGUCAGCAGAGUGGCCCUCCCCUGGAGGCGUUUCGGAGGGUGUAGCGUUUUGCAGGGUGGUGUCUAGUUGUCUGAAGGACGGGGAUCGGAAUCCAGUCGGUUGGGGACUGGGGUGUGGCAAUCCUGAGGCUUGGGCCCUCCCGCUCCUGCGCCUGCAACCUUCUGGGAGAGAAGAGGCCCAUUACAAUUCUCCCAGGCGGGGCUUCACUCCGUUUCUUGUAUGGACUCGUCGGACUUUUUUGCCCAGUGUGAACAAACAUGGAAUUGCCAGGAACGCAGCUGCGCCAUAGCUGAAGAAGGGGACCCGGACGGGGAGACCUAAUGUGAGCGCAGAGCUCUGCAGAGUCCCCAGCACACAAUAGGUGUGGAGAAGGGAUUCCCAGGCCAAGCCUUUUCCUGCCUACUGACGAGUCCCAGCCCUGCUCCAGUACGUCGGCCUGGGCCAGAACAGAAGGGCUGGCCAGAGGGGAAAGCAAAAAGGAAAACAAUGGGACAUACAGAGUUGCACAACAGGACUGGAGAGAGCUUCUCACACUGCUGAGAUGGUGUGAAAAAGGCUGGGCACGAGGGGAGGGUCUCAAGGCUGGACUCCCAGCGUCCACGCGGCCUGGCCUUUCUAUCUCCAGGAGUCUAGUCUCAAGAAAAUCAUCUGAGGGGCACCUGGCUGGCUCAGUUGGUAGCACAUGCGACUCUUGAUCUCAAGGUUGUGAGUUCAAGCCCAACCCUGGGUGUGGAGGCUACUUAAAAAAAAAAAAGUUCACAAAUUGGAAACAGCCUAACUGUCCAAGGACAGGGAAUGUGCUACAUAAUAAAUCAUGAUCCAUGUGGGCUGAUGGAGAAUGUGUGACCCCAGGGGAAAGCCCGUCUGAUGAAGAGAAAAGCAGCAGCCCCACAGUGGGCCAUGUGGUUUCAUCAGAGCGAUCAACGUUUGCCUCUGGAUGCCCAGUAUUUUCUUCCUGUGCACAGUUUUCUGUACAGUCCGAACCUUACGUGACAAACACCAACACACAUUAGAAGUAAGUGCCAGGCCCCUUCCUGUCUCCUCUUCCACCCCACCCCCACAGUGACACAAGUCACAGAGCCUCAAGGAACUGCAGAAGGGUUAGUAUUAGCAAAGUUUUAUUUCAAUGUGUUUUCUGCUCAUAAAUGAUUCUGAAAAAGCCCAUAUGCAAGAGGCGAACCCACCCUUGUCUAAAGGCAACAUCGAGGUCACUGAGAAUGCUGCUCAGACGGACCUUCCCCUCUGCUGGGGAGCAGGCAGCAGGAGGGGUGGGUCUGGGAAAGAGGAAUAAAUAAACAUCGUCUCAGCUCUGCCAUCAGCGCUGGCGGCCCAGGGUCCCGAGGCUGUCCAUCAGCUGGCCGGCUGACAGCUGGGAACUCCCAGAGCCGCCUGAAUGCUUAGGUGUGUUGGGGAAGAUGCUGAGGCUUCAGGAGGACCUGCGUGCCCACCGGAGGAGCCCUUGGCCAGCCCCCACCUCCUACUCCAGCCUGGGGGAGAGCCCAGCUCCCUGCUGGCUGGGCCUGCUUGAGUCCCGGCGUCAGGGGCAGACUCUCGCCCCCACGGCCCCUGCCAAGAGGACUUUUUGGUGUUACCUGUCAUGUAGUGUCAGGUGCUGAGGCCUGGCUGUGGCCCUGGGCAGGUAGUGAGGGGUGGCAGGUGAGGGUCCCGAGGCAGUGACUGGGGGCCCCUGGCACCUGCAGCUCUGGGCUCCCUGUACAUUUGUGUUUAUUUCCAGACUGGGGUCAGCCCUGGGAGGGGUGGGCGGAGCAUGGUGCUUGCAGCCUUG